AACGAACGCUGGCGGCAUGCCUAACACAUGCAAGUCGAACGAGACCUUCGGGUCUAGUUGCUCACGGGUGCGUAACGCGUGGGAACCUGCCCUUAUGUUCGGAAUAACUCCCCGAAAGGGGUGCUAAUACCGGAUAAUGUCUUCGGACCAAAGAUUUAUCGACUUUGGAUGGGCCCGCGUUGGAUUAGCUAGUUGGUAGGGUAAAAGCCUACCAAGGCGACGAUCCAUAGCUGGUCUGAGAGGAUGAUCAGCCACACUGGGACUGAGAAACGGCCCAGAAUACUACGGGAGGCAGCAGUGGGGAAUAUUGGAAAAUGGGCGAAAGCCUGAUCCAGCAAUGCCGCGUGAGUGAUGAAGGCCUUAGAGUUGUAAAGCUCUUUUACCCGGGAUGAUAAUGACAGUACCGGGAGAAUAAGCUCCGGCUAACUCCGUG
rnacentral:rRNA from 1 species